CCUGGCCUCAAGUGAUCUGCCCAUCUUGGCCUUCAAAAGUGUUAGGAUUAUAGGCAUGAGCCACCGCGCCCAGCCGGUUGUUUUUAAUUGGAAAAAUAUGGAAUGCUUCAUGAAUUUGCAUGUCAUCCUUGUGCAGGGGCCAUGCUAAUCUUCUUUGUAUCGUUCCAAUUUUAGUAUAUGUGCUGCCAAAGCAAGCACCAGAGCUGAUGUUUUUUACGUCAAAAAGAGAUCCAUGGAUUGCAAACCCACCCAUCUGUGGCAUGGGGAAUGAUGCCAGAAUACCCUCCUUUAACAGAACCCAAAGGCAAAGAGCAUCAGAGCUGACCCUACUAGAAAAGACUGUACAUGACUGGGUGAAGAACUCCAUUGACUUGCCUCCAGUCUUUUCUAGCCAUGGAGCGGAAGCAUGAACUUAGAAGACAGGCCAUUGUGGACCAUCCUGGAUUUUGAAAAUGCUAGAAAGAGUCAGUGGAUGGGAGCUCUCUAAACCUUUGGACUCAUCUGUGUAUAGCAUGGGUUUCUUGGCCUCCUGGCCCACUCUAUUUUCAAUUGGAAAUCUGAAAAGUUUGCAUGUGAUAGGGAGGUUUGUAUCCCGGUAAGGGAGGAAGAGGCUGAAACUGUUUAUACUGGUGUCAUUCAUAAAAUCUUCUUAGUUCUUCUCCAUAGCUUCCUUGAGUUGAGCCUACUGGUCUAUCACAACAAUGAUGCUUCUGCCUGGAGGAAUGCAAAUACCACCUGGGUAAUUAAGUCUGUGAUCUUAAUUGUCUCCCACUUAAUUGCCUCUGAAGGCCAACCCUGCAGUGUUUUCUAUUUCCUCAGCCUGGCAUGUCUGCUUGUUUUGACUCAGCCUUCUGGAUAGCAUAUGGCUUCCACUAAGCCUGAGCCACCCAGCCUGCAACUACACAGCCCCUCCAGCCGCAGAGGUGGCCCAGUUGUUUCAGUGCUGCCAUUCUGCCUCAGCCUCAGCUUCAUGCGCCCUUACCCAUCUUAUGUGCUCAUUUUGUGCUCUCCUUUUCCCAAAUUCACUGUCAAACUCUUUUUUUUUUUUUUUUUUUUUGAGACGGAUUAUCUGUCACCCAGGCUGGAGUACGGUGGCGCGAUCUCGGUUCACUACAACCUCCACCUCCCGGGUUCAAGCGAUUCUCCUGCCUUAGCCUCCCGAGUAGCUGGGACUACAGGCGCCCGCCAACACGCCUGGCCAAUUUUUUUUUAGCAGAGGCGGGGUUUGGGGUUUCACCAUGUUAGCCAGGAUGGUCUCGAUCUCCACACCUCGUGAUCCGCCUGCCUCGGCCUCCCAAAGUGCUGGGAUUACAGGCGUGAGCCACCGAGCCCGGCCCACUGUCAAACUCUUGUUGGGGAAUUCUACUGUUACCUUGUAAAGAGAAAGAAGCGCUGCUUGUCAUGGUGUAAACACAAUCUGGAAAGAAAAGACUGUGCAGUGCAUUAGCAAUUAUAUUUAGGUUCUACGGAAAACUUAUAGUUAAAUUAUUAGGCAAAUUACUUUCAAUGUGUUCUUUGGUAUAAUUUGGUAUAUGCAGGAAAGACUUAUGAAAUAUUUUCAAAUACUUCAGCCUUCAUCAAUCUCAGAGUAGGUUUAAAAAUAAUUAAAAUAUAUUAAAAUACUUUUUUUAAGGGUCCAAUGAACUGGAUCUUGGUAGGCAAAGAAAAGUGUCAUGAGCCCGGGGAUGGUGGCUCUUACCUGUAAUCCCACCACUUUGGGAGGCUGAGGCGGACAGAUUGGUUGAGCUCAGGAGUUCUAGACCAGUCUGGACAACACGGUUUCUAACAAGAAGAAGUUUGAGACUAGCCUGGGCAAUAUAGUGAAACCCCAUCUCUACAAGAAAUACAAAAAUUAGCCAGGCAUGGUGAUGCAUACCUGCAGUCCCAGCUACUUGGGAGACUGAGGUGGGAGGAUUACCUGAGCCCAGAGAGGUUGAGGCUGCAGUGAGCCAUGUUCGCACCACUGCACUCCAGCCUGAGCGACAAUGCAAGACACUGUCUCAAAACAAACAAACAAACAAAAACAAAAAACAAAAAGGCCGGGCGCCAGUGGCUCAUGCCUGUAAUCCCAGCACUUUGGGAGGCCAAGGCAGGUGGACCACCUGAGGUCAGGAGUUCAAGACCAGCCUGGCCAACAUGGUGAAACCCUGUCUCCACUAAAAAUACAAAAACUAGCCGGGCGUGGCCGGGCGCGGUGGCUCACGCCUGUAAUCCCAACACUUUGGGAGGCUGAGGCAGGCAGAUCACGAGGUCAGGAGAUCGAGACCAUCCUAGCUAACACAGUGAAACCCUGUCUCUACUAAAAAUACUAAAAAACUAGCCGGGAGUGGUGGCGGGCACCUGUAGUCCCAGCUACUCGGGAGGCUGAGGCAGGAAAAUGGCCUGAACCCGGGAGGUGGAGCUUGCAGUGAGCCGAUGUCACACCACUGCACUCCAGCCUGGGCAACAGAGCGAGACGCCAUCUCAAAAACAAAUAAAUAAAUAAUAAAAACUAGCCAGGCGUGGUGGCGCACACCUGUAAUCUCAGCUACCUGGGAGGCUAAGGGCAGAAGAAUGGCUUGAACCUGGGAGGCAGAGGUCGCAGUGAGUCGAGACCGCGCCAUUAUACUCCAGCCUGGGCAACAGAGUGAGUCUCUGCCUCAAAAAAAAAAAAAAAAAAAAAAAAGUGUCAUGAAAUACUUAUCUGGAUAAAUCAGGAAAAUAUUUUAGUUUAAAUUUAUAAAAUCAUACAUUCUCUGGAUUCAUGGUGUUAUGGCAUAAGCAAGAUUUCACUGUACACAAGACUUUUUUGUUGUUGUUGUUGUUUUUUGAGACGGAGUCUCACUCAGUCACCCAGGCUGGAGUGCAGUGGCGCGAUCUCGGCUCACUGCAAGCUUCGCUUCCCGGGUUCACACCAUUCUCCUGCCUCAGCCUCCCGAGUAGCUGGGAUUACAGGCGCCUGCCACCACGCCCG
rnacentral:lncRNA from 1 species